rnacentral:rRNA from 1 species
GGCUUAGAGUUUGAUCAUGGCUCAGGAUGAACGCUGGCGGCGUGCCUAACACAUGCAAGUCGAACGAAGCACUUUCUUUAGAUUCUUCGGAUGAAGAAGACUGUGACUGAGUGGCGGACGGGUGAGUAACGCGUGGGCAACCUGCCCUGUACAGGGGGAUAACAGUUAGAAAUGACUGCUAAUACCGCAUAAGCGCACGAGGACGCAUGUUCUUGUGUGAAAAACUCCGGUGGUACAGGAUGGGCCCGCGUCUGAUUAGGUAGUUGGUGGGGCAGCGGCCUGCCAAGCCGACGAUCAUUAGCCGACCUGAGAGGGUGACCGGUCACAUUGGGACUGAGACACGGCCCAAACUCCUACGGGAGGCAGCAGUGGGGAAUAUUGUACAAUGUGGGAAACCCUGAUGCAGCGUUCAUCCUGAGCCACGAUCAAACUCUAAGCC